rnacentral:rRNA from 1 species
GGUGGAGCGAUUUGUCUGGUUAAUUCCGAUAACGAACGAGACUCUAGCCUAUUAAAUAGACUGUAUAUCAUUAGUAUAUCGAGCUUCUUAGAGGGACAGGCAGCUUCUAGCUGCACGAGAUUGAGCAAUAACAGGUCUGUGAUGCCCUUAGAUGUCCGGGGCUGCACGCGCGCUACAAUGAUAAUAGCAAAGUGCAUUAAAACCUUUUCUGGUAAGAAUUGGUAAACACGAAACAUUGUCGUGCUUGGAAUCGGGGAUUGAAAUUAUUGCCCUUAAACGAGGAAUUCCUAGUAAGUGCAGGUCAUCAGCUUGUGCUGAAUACGUCCCUGCCCUUUGUAC